GACAGAGGGUGCAAACGUUGUUCGGAAUUACUGGGCGUAAAGCGCGUGUAGGCGGCCAUCUAAGUCGGGCGUGAAAUCCCUCGGCUUAACCGGGGAACUGCGUCUGAUACUGGAUGGCUCGAGUUUGGGAGAGGGAUGCGGAAUUCCAGGUGUAGCGGUGAAAUGCGUAGAUAUCUGGAGGAACACCGGUGGCGAAGGCGGCAUCCUGGACCAACACUGACGCUGAUGAGCGAAAGCCAGGGGAGCAAACGGG
rnacentral:rRNA from 1 species